CAGUUUAGCAUGGGCCCUGCUCAAGAAUGACACUCAAAUUCAUAAAGGAUUCCAUAUGUUU
rnacentral:snRNA from 14 species